UGUCUGCAAAGCCUGCUUUUUUACAAAUAUGCUUUUUAUUUAACUGGCAAAAGUACCAAACGCUCCAUACGCUAUUUUAAAUCAGUCACGUAUGUGCAUGUAUUGCACAUCUGCGACCAGCUGCAUCAGAUUAGGUUUUGCCAAAACCAGGGCUCUGCAGCCGCUGUUCUCGGCCACUCUACAACACUUUUCUCACACAGCCUCCUCCUCAGGCGCAGGAAGUGAGAGUUCUGCAGGACGGGCUCCAGCAUCAGCAGCACAAUCACAUCCAUGUUUUCAUCAAGCAGUCUUUGGUGUGCCAGAUACAUUGCCAGUUUGAAAACCCCAGUCUUAACAUAGCCCUCCGUUAAGACGAACAGGGUCUUGCGACUAUACUGGAUGCUCUGUGUGAGGUUAUUUACCAGGGGGAUGCCGGGGGUCCAAUCCCUAUCCUCAAGACAUAGAGGAAGAUGCUUCUCUCCUUCCUCUUCCAGUUUCACUCGCAGAUUCCUCAUCACCCACUCAGAGACAUGUGGAUCUGUGGUGUCGUAGGUCACAAAGACAUCAUAAAUGGCGCCUGGAAGCAGCCACUGAACGGCCGCCGGCACCUCCACGUCCCUGUGUCGAGCCUUUGGGCUGUGGUCUCUGAAGACAUCUGCCUUUUACCAGAGGAAUUAGAGGCGACUGAACCCAGGGACCAGCUCUUGGGCAAUGUUUUGGCAGAGAAUAUCCUCUUUACUUUUGGGGGAUCUUGAGACUGGAAAUUUGGACCGCCACCCUUCCUUUGAAAGUCUGCCUGUGUCGCCUCCUGUUCAGAUCCUCGAUGUGUACAGAACGAAUCAUGUCCAGUGUGACUUACGGGGACCUGGCCAUUGAUGAUGACCUCCUCAGCGAAGCGGACUUUAACCGGAUUAGUCUUUAACUUGGCCUUUUUGGCUGCGCUGAUGAAUGCCGAUUUGGGUGACUUUUGAAGGGGAAGAAGAAAAACACAGAUUGAAAGGACGAUUAGUUCCUUUUAAGAGAUGAGUCAUUUACUUUUUCAGCUCCACACAAUUCAAGGACAUGUUGGAACAUGACAACAUCCCAUGUCUCCACUCUGAUGCUGAUGCAAUUAGGAAGGCUGUGUGUAGGACAUAAGAGGGAGGAUCCCCUCGCUGCCUGCUGGUGUGUCAUUGAGGCUGCAAAGAAACGGCUGAUAAACAGAUGCAAUUACAGGGUGUAUUAUAAGAGCUCCUCUGAGAUCGUGGAAUACUACAGCCAUGUAUUUUUUGCAAAUCAAAUCCUUUUCAGGUUGUUAAGUGGCUGUUACUCGAUGACUCCACACUCAUCAUGAUAAGCCUCCGAAACACACACAUUCAGAAUGCAGGGAUGAAUGUAGAUAUUACAGUAUCAAUUUAAGGGGAAAUGUUUGACAUUAUAAAAACACAUUAUUAUUGUUACAGUAAACAGGGAAAUAAAAGAUGGCACCCCUCUAGAAACACCAUAUAUUUCUGUGAGCACUCGUACAUGAUUUGGGCUAUUUUUUGAGGUUAUUCAAGCAUAAUGCACAUUCCCACUGACUUAUUAUGUGCAGAAUAAAUAAAGGUCAACUAUAUGCUCCUGGCCCUGUGUACACAACCAUCUGGUGCCUCAUGACUGGGGUAAAUGUGAAAGAGGCAGGUUCAGCCGAGGUCUUGCAAGGAUCUGACGCUACAACAUGAGAAGACUUUGAAAAACACUGGACUCCUUUUGGUAAGUGGGACUGUAACACGCAGCCUUAGUGGUGCCACCACAAACAUAAGGCAUGAUUAAUGGAUUGCAUUUAUUGGUUCAACAAAAUAAUCCGCUUUAAACGCAAAAACAGCUUAUUGGAAUCUACUCCAUUUCAUUCAGAGGAAGGAGAAACUUACUGGGUACGGCUGAAUAACGCUCAACAAUAUGGACUCCUUGCAGCUCCUGCAAGACACACAAAAUAGAGAAUACAUUCGAUAAAGAUUCAAAGAAAAACAAAUGUGAGGAAAUCUGGAAAUAAUUCAGUUUUUGUUACUGUCAUUUUUUGGACAUCAUGGCGGAUGGUAUCACAGGGAACACUGUGUCCCAGUGAUGGUCCUGCAGCACUGUCCUGCAUUCACAGUUUUACUGCAGAGAGCGAGUCCAUUCAAGGCCACAGGAGCUGUGAAGGAGUGGCCACUUGGGCACUUCUCCCUGUACUAAUGUUCUGUUUACAGACUGCUGCACAGGUCGUGCGAGGACCAGACACUCACAGCUAGCCACUCAGCUGUGUCAGUGAUAUUAAUUUAAUGAGCCGUACGAACAAACUUCGACACCAGCUAAACCCUCAAUCAUGGUGAAAUGAGCAGGUGCUUCAUGAUGUGCCAUAUCUGUCCAGCUGAAAUAUUUGGUUUAAUUGCUUUAAAAAUAGUCUUAUAGAAAGUCUGUGGCAAAAUGUCUAUCAAGGGUAAACUGUGAAAACUAUAAAGAAGUGAACGACAGUGCCUAAAUAAAGUAUUUACCUGCCUUGUAA